UCUAGAAUGGCUGGAGAAUUCUGGGAGUUGAAGUCCACAAGUCUUAAAGCUGCCAAGUUUGAAGACCUCUGAGGAGAGGUCCAUUUGCUUAAAACAAGGUAGUAAAGCUUUGGAUUUUUAAACAUUCCCCAUCCUGGCUGAGAGAGGUGGAAUUAGCUGUCGCAACCAUGCUGAGCUACCAAGGUCGGACAAGAUGUUUCAAAGCAAAGACUACAACAGCGAGGAGGCAAGGUGUUGUGGUCCGCCAGCAGCCUGAGGAGCUGGCAGCGGAGUCGGACAGUGAGGAGGCUGGGGAAGAACAUGGGCCAGUCCUGGAGUCUGGGGAAGGCCCGGAUGAGGGCUCUGCAUCGGAGGUAGAGAUGGGGCCAGGGAGUGAUGCACGGACUCCGGAGCCCCAGAGUCGGACAUCAGAGAGGCAGAGGAACAGGAGGAGCCUGUUCCUAGUGCACGCAUGCGCAGAGCUGCCAGAAGGCAAGAGCAGUUAAAGCAAAAGGGACGACUCAGGAGUAAGGCCAGGAGAUGAUUGGCCCCUCUCAUAAGGCUUAAAAGAGAAACAAAGGCACUUGGGCCUUUUGCAGGAAAGCAACGUUGCUAACUCUGUUUCCAGUCGGCAUCUCUUGUUUGUUUCUGAACUUCGUGGGGCUUUGCCAAGUAAGGCCUUUGGCAGGGUGAUAAAGGUUGAUGAUUAUCCCGAAGGACUUCUUCCGAAGGACUUAUUUUGCAACUAAUUGGGACUCAGCUGGGAAUGAACGUAAUUCUCAGCUGUUACAAUAAAAGAGGUUUGUUUGGGACUAAU